GACGAACGCUGGCGGCGUGCCUAAUACAUGCAAGUCGAACGCAGUGGGGACGGGGGAGUAACACGGGGGUAACCUCCCAGCAGAGGGGAUACCACUUGGAAACAGGUGCUAAACCGAUACUGAUGGAUGGACGCGCGUGGCAUUAGCUAGUUGGUGAGGUAACGGCGCACCAAGGCCACGAUGCAUAGCCGACCUGAGAGGGUGAUCGGCCACACUGGGACUGAGACACGGCCCAGACUCCUACGGGAGGCAGCAGUAGGGAAUCUUCGGCAAUGGACGAAAGUCUGACCCAGCAACGCCGCGUGAGUGAAGAAGGUUUUAGGAUCGUAAAACUCUGUUGUUAGAGAAGCGGUAUCUAACCAGAAAGCCACGGCUAACUACGUGCCAGCAGCCGCGGUAAUUC
rnacentral:rRNA from 1 species